rnacentral:rRNA from 1 species
CCUACGGGGGGCAGCAGUGAGGAAUAUUGGUCAAUGGACGAGAGUCUGAACCAGCCAAGUCGCGUGAAGGAUGACUGCGCUAUGGGUUGUAAACUUCUUUUAUAUGGGAAUAAAACGAUCCACGUGUGGGAUUUUGUAUGUACCAUAUGAAUAAGGAUCGGCUAACUCCGUGCCAGCAGCCGCGGUAAUACGGAGGAUCCGAGCGUUAUCCGGAUUUAUUGGGUUUAAAGGGAGCGUAGGUGGAUUGUUAAGUCAGUCGUGAAAGGUUGGGGCUCAACCGUAAAAUGGCAGUUGAAACUGGCAGUCUUGAGUACAGUAGAGGUGGGCGGAAUGCGUGGUGUAGCGGUGAAAUGCUUAGAUAUCACGAAGAACUCCGAUUGCGAAGGCAGUUCACUGGACUGCAACUGACACUGAGGCUCGAAAGUGUGGGUAUCAAACAGGAUUAGAUACCCGAGUAGUC